rnacentral:snoRNA from 1 species
AAGCCAUGAUGUGGGCAUUGAGACCAAUAGCCCUUGAACCUCUCCCAUGCUUCACUAAAUCCCUCUACGUUCUUCUGCUGAAAGCUAGAGAUCUCAUUCCUGAUUUU